rnacentral:rRNA from 1 species
GUCCACGCUGUAAACGAUGACGACUAGGUGUGGGGGGUUCGAGUCCCUCCGUGCCGCAGCUAACGCAUUAAGUCGUCCGCCUGGGGAGGUACGGCCGCAAGGUUGAAACUCAAAGGAAUUGACGGGGGCCCGGCACAAGCGGUGGAGCAUGUGGUUCAAUUCGAUGCAGAGCGAAGAACCUUACCUGGGCUUGACAUGCAGGAAGUAGAAACCGGAAACGGCGACGACCUGUUAAGUCAGGAACCUGCACAGGUGGUGCAUGGCUGUCGU